AGAAAAAUAGUUUAUAAGUAAAAUGUGCGGUUUGAAACUGUGAGAUGUGUUUGGUCACUUUUUUUG
rnacentral:tRNA from 1 species